rnacentral:lncRNA from 1 species
UUUUUUUUUUUUUUUUUUUUUUUGCGUCGGAGUCUCCCUGUCACCCAGGCCGGAGUGCAAUAUUACAAUCAUGGCUCAUCGCAGCCUUGACCUUCUGGUUCAAGCAAUCCUUCAGCUUCAGCCUUCCAAGUAUCUGGGACCCACAGGCGAGUUUCAUUUCUUUGCUAAUGAAUUCCUAAUUCACCGCGUGGCGGGCCUGUCAGGGCCAUCUGCCUGGACGUCCACCUUGCCGACCGGCUGUGUGGUCUCUAAGGUGGAUGCACUCCGGUUGCCCGGAAUCUGCACGCGAUGCUGAAUCUCUAAGUCUGCCGCGCAGCACGUGAGCACAGAUCAAAGGGUGUCAGCAACUAACCCAUUCCCCAGGUACUAAGCAGAGGACCAAGGAAGUGUUUAGUUCCUUAUUUGCUAUAGGCUUGAUUCAAAACAGCUUUCUGGGAUCCUGGGGACAAACACCUCUAAUUGGUGAGAAUUCUUGCUUUAGAAACGGAAGAAUCACCUAAUGCCCACUUUGUAACUGCUGUUCUCAUCAGAACUUGAGACCAAAAGGAAAAACAAAAGGGGGGCCAAGAUCGUGACACCCCAGUUUGCACAAGGCCAAUCAGCCUGCUUGAGGGGGUGAAAGGAGUAGGAUUUUUAAACUGCUGUGUUUUAAAAAUAUGGCUGUAGGCUGGGUCCACUGGCUCAUGUCUACAAGCCCAGCACUUUGGGAGGCCGGGCUGGGAGGAUUGCUUGAGGCCAGGAGUUCAAGACUAGCUUGAGUAACACAGCAAUACCCUAUCUCUUUAAAAAGAAAAAAAAGGUUAUUAAAAUAGUAAUAAAAAGGUUAAUACAAUAAAUUACUAUGUCAACAUGGCACCCCCUGCUGUCAGACAAGGUGCACUCUCUGUGGCUACGAUGAGGCCCGGAGAGAAAUGUAACCGGCAUCACGGGGAGGAAGGUCGACCCCAAAGCCCCACGGCACUAACUCCUGUACAGUUUGUUAACCAGCAUGAAGUCUCCUCCACAAUCAGACAGAAGCCUGGUUUAGAGGAAUGCUGCCCACAGGACCUGGGUGGACUCCCGAUGCCGGCCGACCAGACAUCCCUAUGCUGGGAUCCUGCCAGCAGCCCCGACUGGACAGAAUGGCCUCAUGAGUGUCCUUUCCCACUGCAAGCUGCAGACCCUGAGCCAGUCCUGGCUGUGACUGAGUCUGCGCAUAAACGUCUGCGCCCAACAGCUCACCUUUGUACAUGACAUGCUGAGUCCACCUCAUUUCAAAUGUUACACUCGCCCCAAGGCAAACAUGGAUGUUAGAGGUUAAUUCACUGCACGUGUGCUAGGUUUUCCCUGUAAGUGUUCAGACAUUCCACGAACCGAUGAACAAACCCCACUUUCCCUGUAAACGUUCAGACAUUCCAUGAGCCCGAUGAACACACACAUCGAACAAACCCCGGAACGUUUAACACCGUGGCCUCCUCCCCUCCUGAGGGGUGCGUGCUUACAGCUCCCCCAAGACCACAUUUCCCAAAGCACAGACUGUUACUCUGAAAAUAAAACGUUCUUUUUCCUUCCUCUGUAAAUCUCGUGGUCAUGUUAACAACUAUUGCCACAAAUGCAGAGAAAUGCGGUAUCAUCCGUGCUGGUCACCGAAUUCCUAGCACCAAAGCUUCAGGGCCCCCCAGUCUGAAGGAAGCUUCUAUCACCCUAAAGCCAACUCUGGAGAUGAAGGCCGAGCUGGGGAAAGGCUGUGUCACCCGCAAACCCACACCACGGGGCCCCUGCAGUUAUGUGUUAGAAUUCUUGGCCUGUCCUGGGGUUUUGGAAAAUCAGGAUGCAAGCAGAUACCGUACGCUCUGCCACAGGACUGUGAAGUCUGUGGGACCUCAGAGGAACACGGACAAAUGGCUGCACGAGUCCCACAGGCUGAGCCUCUACAGGCGCCCGUGUCAAGAGCACAGACACGCCGGGAGGGGCAGCCGAUGCAGGCAACGCCUGCAACCCCAGCACGCCACAACGUCUGAGUGUGUGGGUCUCUGGCCAGGCUCCACCACAACUGCCAUAUUCUGUGGCAAAAUUUUAAAAAUAGGUUUUAACUAGUUAUAACUCUAACUUGUUUUACAGAUAAACAGAACACAGGGUACCAACAGGCUCCAAAACACUUUGCCUAGAACCAAGUCUAGAAUGCAGAUGGCUGCUGCUCCGAGUGUGAUGAAAGUCCAUCCAUUUACCCACUCAUGCCCUGGAGAGCCCUGCCCCCAGCUCCACACCCGCAGUCACGCUGAACCACGAGAACUGACUUCUAGGCCCUCAAGCCACUCCCUCUCGCCCCUGGACAGACCCCUCUCAAACCGUGAGGCCCAGAGUAGCCUUAACAGGUGGUCCCAGCAGAACUGGCCACUGCACGAAUUGAUGUUGUUUGUGUGUAUACGUGUGUGGUGGUUCUUGUUCUGUCACUCAGGCACAGUGCACCAUAAGUACAGUGGUGCUAUCAUGGUUCACUGCAGCCUCAACCUGCCAGGCUUGGGUGAUCCUCCAGCCUCAGCUUCCCGAGUAGCUGGGACCACAGGUGCACAUCAACACUCCUAUUUAAGUUUUUGUAGAGUCAGGGUCUUGCUAUGUUGCCCAGACUGGUCUCAAAUUCCUGCUUUCAAAAGUGAAUUGCCCAUCUCAGCCUCCCAAGGUGCUGGGAUUACAGGUGUAAGCCACUAUGCCUAGUUUAGAAUUUUCAUUUCUUAAACCUGAAUUUGGCACAUGAACCUCACUUACAUAGACAUCAGCACACUCUCAGAGCUUGAGGAUUUUUCUGAAUCUCGAUUCUAUCCGUUCAAGGUCAAUAUCUAAGAAAGGGUCAGAACUAACCCUCCCUCAAUGAAACCUAAGGGCAAAUGCAGCAGCAUCUCAGGGUAUGAGGAGACAAAAUAAGAAGGGCGGAAGAUACACACUGAAAUUCUAGUGUUAGAAUCAUAAUCACCAACACUUUAAGAGGCAAUCUGCUUUCCAAAACAUGUAGCUGCUGGAUUAACUUCAAAGUCACCAGAUUCCACAGCCAGGCAGUCAGAGGGGCACAGCUUUCUAAGGCCGUACUGCCCAGGGCAGCCUAACAGCCUCGGGGCAAACUAAACAAAGGCUUGCUUCUCUCAAGGACGAAGGUGCUCAAGUCCAUCCAAAUAGAUUCUUCUUCUAAGUAAGUUAGAUGCCUCCUACAACACUGUUUGGAGUGCCAGUGUGUUCAGAAGCGUGAAGUUGAAAAUACAUCUCAGGACCCCAAAAUCACUAAAUUAAAGGGACAUCAAGGUGGGGAACAGCUUAGGGCAAACCUGCCUCCCAUGCUCUUCCUAACAGAGACAGCUACUGGGGGGGAAAAAAAGCCACGUACCUCCCUCACAACCGGUCCACAAGGAAAUUCCUCAUGGACAGAGGACAGAACUCAAAGUCACCAUCUGCACACGGAGAUAAAUGCGGAUCUGGCUGCUUCCUCUGGAAAGGUGCACCAGAAAUGCAUUUGUCUGAUCUACCUGUGACCUGAAAACCCCCCCCCGCUUCGAGCUGUCCCUCCGUCCUGGACAGAACCAACGUACAUCUCACAUAUAUUGAUGUCUCACGUCUCCCUAAAAUGUGUAAGACCAAGUUGUGCCCCAAACACCUUGGGCACAUGUCCAAGACCUCCUGAGGCUGUGUCUUUAACCUUGGGAAAAUGAACUCUCUAUGGGCCAAGAACCGUCUCAGAGAUGCUUCUGGCUUACAGGAAACAUUCUCUCCUAUGGGUGUAACGAUGAAAUCAUGUGGAAUUACAAAAUGCCACUUUAGUAAAGGCUGAAGGAAUUAGGGUUCGAUGUGCUUUAAAAAAAAAAAAAAAAAGAACAUUCUAUUUAUCAAUGGACCAUGAAGCCCACACCCCCUUCUGCAGUGAAGAUGUCAACUGGGAUGAGGGGACCCUCCUGUGGAUGCAGCAAAAGCUACCCUCUGACCCCACUUCCCAGAGUCCAGGCUCCUGCUGCUCAGGGAACAGCAACCCCUGCUUCACGGGGCUCAGGCCUCCAAACCCAACUCCCACCCAUGCUGGAGAAUCACCCCAAGGACUUGCAAAAUGGCAGGUGCAACUCUCGCCUUAUCCCCUUAAAGGAGAAAAGGCACCUUCCCGCUCCUCUUCCUGCUGGUGGGAACGGGGCAGGAGCUGGAGGAGCAGGAGCUGGAGGAGCAGGAGUUGGGCGGCAGGAGGGAAUCAGCCUGGGUCCCUGCUAGUCACAGAUGGAAAAUGCGACCAGCCCCGACCUUCACAUUGCAGAGAAGAAAUCCUUCUCUUUUGUCAGGUUCCUGUUAGAAGUUUGCACUCAUUCCUUUAAAAAAAAAAAAAAAAAAAAAA